GGCUUAGAAGCAGCCAUCAUUUAAAGAAAGCGUAAUAGCUCACUGGUCGAGUCGGCCUGCGCGGAAGAUGUAACGGGGCUAAACCAUGCACCGAAGCUGCGGCAGCGACACUGUGUGUUGUUGGGUAGGGGAGCGUUCUGUAAGCCUGUGAAGGUGUGUCGUGAGGCAUGCUGGAGGUAUCAGAAGUGCGAAUGCUGACAUAAUUAACGAUAAAGCGGGUGAAAAGCCCGCUCGCCGGAAGACCAAGGGUUCCUGUCCAACGUUAAUCGGGGCAGGGUGAGUCGACCCCUAAGGCGAGGCCGAAAGGCGUAGUCGAUGGGAAACGGGUUAAUAUUCCCGUACUUGGUGUUACUGCGAAGGGGGGACGGAGAAGGCUAUGUUGGCCGGGCGACGGUUGUCCCGGUUUAAGCGUGUAGGUGUGUGUUCCAGGUAAAUCCGGUUCACUUUAACACUGAGGCGUGACGACGAGGCACUACGGUGCUGAAGCAACAAAUGCCCUGCUUCCAGGAAAAGCCUCUAAGCAUCAGGUAACAUCAAAUCGUACCCCAAACCGACACAGGUGGUCAGGUAGAGAAUACCAAGGCGCUUGAGAGAACUCGGGUGAAGGAACUAGGCAAAAUGGUGCCGUAACUUCGGGAGAAGGCACGCUGACACGUAGGUGAAGUGAUUUACUCAUGGAGCUGAAGUCAGUCGAAGAUACCAGCUGGCUGCAACUGUUUAUUAAAAACACAGCACUGUGCAAACACGAAAGUGGACGUAUACGGUGUGACGCCUGCCCGGUGCCGGAAGGUUAAUUGAUGGGGUCAGCGCAAGCGAAGCUCCUGAUCGAAGCCCCGGUAAACGGCGGCCGUAACUAUAACGGUCCUAAGGUAGCGAAAUUCCUUGUCGGGUAAGUUCCGACCUGCACGAAUGGCGUAAUGAUGGCCAGGCUGUCUCCACCCGAGACUCAGUGAAAUUGAACUCGCUGUGAAGAUGCAGUGUACCCGCGGCAAGACGGAAAGACCCCGUGAACCUUUACUAUAGCUUGACACUGAACAUUGAGCCUUGAUGUGUAGGAUAGGUGGGAGGCUUUGAAGUGUGGACGCCAGUCUGCAUGGAGCCGACCUUGAAAUACCACCCUUUAAUGUUUGAUGUUCUAACGUGGACCCGUAAUC
rnacentral:rRNA from 1 species